rnacentral:rRNA from 1 species
UACAGGGGGUGCAAACGUUACUCGGAAUCAUUGGGCGUAAAGAGCGCGUAGGCGGUUUGAUAAGUUAGAUGUGAAAUCCCCAGGCUCAAGCUGGGAAGUGCAUUUGAUACUGUCAGGCUAGAGUAUAGGAGGGGAGAGUGGAAUUCCUGGUGUAGAGGUGAAAUUCGUAGAUAUCAGGAGGAACAACAGUGGCGAAGGCGAUUCUCUGGACUAUUACUGACGCUGAGGCGCGAAAGCGUGGGGAACAAACAGG